AGAAUCAACGCUGGCGGCGUGCCUAACACAUGCAAGUCGAACGCGAAAGCCCCGAAAGGGGUAAGUAGAGUGGCAAACGGGUGAGUAACACGUGGGUGACCUGCCUUCGAGCGGGGGAUAACGUCCCGAAAGGGACGCUAAUACCGCAUAACAUCCUGCCUUUGAAGAGGCGGAGAUCAAAGCUGGGGAUCGCAAGACCCGGCACUUGGAAGAGGGGCCCGCGUCUGAUUAGCUAGUUGGUGGGGUAAUGGCCUACCAAGGCAACGGAUCA
rnacentral:rRNA from 1 species